rnacentral:piRNA from 1 species
UAGUCCAGGAUAACUGCCUGAUUAUUUGGGC